rnacentral:rRNA from 1 species
UCGAUCUCAAAUCAAGUAAGAUUACCCGCUGAACUU